rnacentral:rRNA from 1 species
AGAGUUUGAUCAUGGCUCAGAUUGAACGCUGGCGGCAUGCCUUACACAUGCAAGUCGAACGGCAGCACAGGGGCAACCCUGGUGGCGAGUGGCGAACGGGUGAGUAAUACAUCGGAACGUGCCCGGUAGUGGGGGAUAGCCCGGCGAAAGCCGGAUUAAUACCGCAUACGACCUACGGGUGAAAGCGGGGGACCGCAAGGCCUCGCGCUAUCGGAGCGGCCGAUGUCGGAUUAGCUUGUUGGUGGGGUAAAGGCCUACCAAGGCGACGAUCCGUAGCUGGUCUGAGAGGACGACCAGCCACACUGGGACUGAGACACGGCCCAGACUCCUACGGGAGGCAGCAGUGGGGAAUUUUGGACAAUGGGCGCAAGCCUGAUCCAGCCAUGCCGCGUGCGGGAAGAAGGCCUUCGGGUUGUAAACCGCUUUUGUCAGGGAAGAAACGCUCCGGGCUAAUAUCCUGGAGUAAUGACGGUACCUGAAGAAUAAGCACCGGCUAACUACGUGCCAGCAGCCGCGGUAAUACGUAGGGUGCGAGCGUUAAUCGGAAUUACUGGGCGUAAAGCGUGCGCAGGCGGUUGUGCAAGACAGGUGUGAAAUCCCCGGGCUUAACCUGGGAACUGCAUUUGUGACUGUGCGACUGGAGUGUGGCAGAGGGGGAUGGAAUUCCGCGUGUAGCAGUGAAAUGCGUAGAUAUGCGGAGGAACACCGAUGGCGAAGGC